rnacentral:rRNA from 1 species
GAUGAACGCUGGCGGCGUACCUAAUACAUGCAAGUCGAGCGAACGGACGAGAAGCUUGCUUCUCUGAUGUUAGCGGCGGACGGGUGAGUAACACGUGGAUAACCUACCUAUAAGACUGGGAUAACUUCGGGAAACCGGAGCUAAUACCGGAUAAUAUUUUGAACCGCAUGGUUCAAAAGUGAAAGACGGUCUUGCUGUCACUUAUAGAUGGAUCCGCGCUGCAUUAGCUAGUUGGUAAGGUAACGGCUUACCAAGGCAACGAUGCAUAGCCGACCUGAGAGGGUGAUCGGCCACACUGGAACUGAGACACGGUCCAGACUCCUACGGGAGGCAGCAGUAGGGAAUCUUCCGCAAUGGGCGAAAGCCUGACGGAGCAACGCCGCGUGAGUGAUGAAGGUCUUCGGAUCGUAAAACUCUGUUAUUAGGGAAGAACAUAUGUGUAAGUAACUGUGCACAUCUUGACGGUACCUAAUCAGAAAGCCACGGCUAACUACGUGCCAGCAGCCGCGGUAAUACGUAGGUGGCAAGCGUUAUCCGGAAUUAUUGGGCGUAAAGCGCGCGUAGGCGGUUUUUUAAGUCUGAUGUGAAAGCCCACGGCUCAACCGUGGAGGGUCAUUGGAAACUGGAAAACUUGAGUGCAGAAGAGGAAAGUGGAAUUCCAUGUGUAGCGGUGAAAUGCGCAGAGAUAUGGAGGAACACCAGUGGCGAAGGCGACUUUCUGGUCUGUAACUGACGCUGAUGUGCGAAAGCGUGGGGAUCAAACAGGAUUAGAUACCCUGGUAGUCCACGCCGUAAACGAUGAGUGCUAAGUGUUAGGGGGUUUCCGCCCCUUAGUGCUGCAGCUAACGCAUUAAGCACUCCGCCUGGGGAGUACGACCGCAAGGUUGAAACUCAAAGGAAUUGACGGGGACCCGCACAAGCGGUGGAGCAUGUGGUUUAAUUCGAAGCAACGCGAAGAACCUUACCAAAUCUUGACAUCCUUUGACAACUCUAGAGAUAGAGCCUUCCCCUUCGGGGGACAAAGUGACAGGUGGUGCAUGGUUGUCGUCAGCUCGUGUCGUGAGAUGUUGGGUUAAGUCCCGCAACGAGCGCAACCCUUAAGCUUAGUUGCCAUCAUUAAGUUGGGCACUCUAAGUUGACUGCCGGUGACAAACCGGAGGAAGGUGGGGAUGACGUCAAAUCAUCAUGCCCCUUAUGAUUUGGGCUACACACGUGCUACAAUGGACAAUACAAAGGGCAGCGAAACCGCGAGGUCAAGCAAAUCCCAUAAAGUUGUUCUCAGUUCGGAUUGUAGUCUGCAACUCGACUACAUGAAGCUGGAAUCGCUAGUAAUCGUAGAUCAGCAUGCUACGGUGAAUACGUUCCCGGGUCU